ensembl:snRNA U2 U2 spliceosomal RNA
AUCGCAACCGUCAUUUGGGCUAAAAUUAAGUGUAGUAUCUCUUCUUAUCAGUUUAAUAUUUGAUAUGUCCCCUAUCCGGGGACCAUAUAUUAAAAUGCUUUUUGGAACAGGGAGAUGUAACAAGGCCCUACUCUGUUCACCCACACGUCAACCUGGUAAUGCAGCAUUUCUGGGAAUGAUGCACUUCUU